rnacentral:misc_RNA from 1 species
GAAAUGCGAUAAGUAAUGUGAAUUGCAGAAUUCCGUGAAUCAUCGAAUCUUUGAACGCACAUUGCGCCCUCUGGUAUUCCGGGGGGCACGCCUGUCCGAGCGUCAUUGCGAACCCCUCAAGCACGGCUUGUGUGAUGGGCCCUCCCGCGUCUUGGUCGUCAAGACGGGCCCGAAAAGCAGUGGCGGCUUCGCGGUUAUCCGAUCAGUCAGAGCGUAUGGGGACUUUCUCUCUGUCACACGCCCGCGGCGCGGACCGACGCCUGUCGACCUUUAUUCAUCUUUUUCUCGGUUGACCUCGGAUCAGGUAGGGAUACCCGCUGAACUUAAGC